ensembl:lncRNA
GUUAAAUAGACGAAAGACGCGUUCACCUGAGAAGGUAACCAUAGCAACAGUGGAACACUUUUUGUUAGCUUCAUUAUUGAAUGGAACGUUGACAAAAUAUAACCAUUUCUGAUAUGGCAUUAGCCUAUUUAUAAAACAUUUGCAUGAUGUUUUGUUUAAAAAUGUUGCGAGAGACGAACCUCGACAGAUUGCACCGGCGAAAUGUAGCCUGUUUUAAACGCGUGAAUCAGCUCACGUUUAUGUUGAGUAGGUUAUUAUUAAAGUACACUCAUAUGCUGUGUCCUGAACGCUUAAGCUGGAACAGACACACACACACGAUGUCGGACUGCUUUUCACUCCGAGCAAAGCAAUCCAGCUGGCCGGGGUGAAUAGCGCUGCAAUGUGUACACGCUUUGUCCCUCCGAGUCCUUCAAGUAGCCUACAUUGAAUAGAGCGAUCCAGUGGGAAAGGUAGAGAUGCAACUAUUCAAACAUUCACAUGAGAAAAUCUUGUGACGGAUGGAAGAAUGACGAAAGUUGUUCAUUUGCCGAAACAAAAGGUGCCUCUUUUUUGGCAGAAAGUUCACGGCGAGUCACAAAUCACUGAGAUGUUGAGGCAAGACACCACAGGUGAAUACAGGAGGAAAAAUUUAACUAAAGGAUAUCACCAUACGUCCCCAG